UUAGAAUUUAUUUAUGAAUUAUUAUUCAAAUAGUA
rnacentral:tRNA from 1 species